rnacentral:lncRNA from 1 species
UUACAUCUAGGUUCAAUCAAAGUCUCGUUUCAAAAGUAUUUUCAAUAUUAAGCAUCAGUAUAACCCUCCAUUCUAUGCCAGCUUGCACAAUUUUAUUUUGAGACAACAUAUACAACACAUUGGAAAUGAACUAGAAAUGGUAAGAUUUGUUGGUGCAAGUCAAGAUGCACGUAGUUGCUUCAUUAGAAAAAUGCAUGGGUUAUUGUGUUUGUGUAUCAACUUGUUAGUUUCCAAACAC